UACGUAGGCAGCGAGCGUUGUUCGGAAUUACUGGGCGUAAAGGGCGCGUAGGCGGUGUACUAAGUUAGGCGUGAAAGCCCUGGGCUCAACCCUUGAAAGCCGGCCGAUACUGUCGGACUAGAGUCCGGAAGAGGCGAGUGGAAUUCCCGGUGUAGCGGUGAAAUGCGCAGAUAUCGGGAGGAACACCAAUGGCGAAGGCAGCUCGCUGGGACGGUACUGACGCUGAGGCGCGAAAGCGUGGGGAGCAAACAGG
rnacentral:rRNA from 1 species